CCUACGGGGGGCUGCAGUGGGGAAUAUUGGACAAUGGGCGAAAGCCUGAUCCAGCAAUGCCGCGUGAGUGAUGAAGGCCUUAGGGUUGUAAAGCUCUUUUACCAGGGAUGAUAAUGACAGUACCUGGAGAAUAAGCUCCGGCUAACUCCGUGCCAGCAGCCGCGGUAAUACGGAGGGAGCUAGCGUUGUUCGGAAUUACUGGGCGUAAAGCGCACGUAGGCGGCUUUCCAAGUCAGGGGUGAAAUCCCGGGGCUCAACCCCGGAACUGCCCUUGAAACUGGAUGGCUAGAAUACUGGAGAGGUGAGUGGAAUUCCGAGUGUAGAGGUGAAAUUCGUAGAUAUUCGGAAGAACACCAGUGGCGAAGGCGACUCACUGGACAGUUAUUGACGCUGAGGUGCGAAAGCGUGGGGAGCAAACAGGAUUAGAUACCCAUGUAGUC
rnacentral:rRNA from 1 species